GACGGGGGGUCCAAGCGUUGUUCGGAAUCAUUGGGCGUAAAGCGCGCGCAGGCGGUCUUCCAAGUCAGUGGUGAAAGCCUGGAGCUCAACUCCAGAACUGCCAUUGAAACUGUUAGACUUGAGUACGAGAGAGGUGAGUGGAAUUCCCAGUGUAGCGGUGAAAUGCGUAGAUAUCGGGAGGAACACCUGUGGCGAAAGCGGCUCACUGGACCAUAACUGACGCUGAUGCACGAAAGCUGGGGGAGCAAACAGG
rnacentral:rRNA from 1 species